UAAGACGACAGAGUCUGGUCCUUACGCUG
rnacentral:piRNA from 1 species